UACGUAGGGUGCGAGCGUUGUCCGGAAUUAUUGGGCGUAAAGAGCUUGUAGGCGGUUUGUCGCGUCUGCCGUGAAAAUUCGAGGCUCAACCUCGAACUUGCGGUGGGUACGGGCAGACUAGAGUGUGGUAGGGGAGACUGGAAUUCCUGGUGUAGCGGUGAAAUGCGCAGAUAUCUGGAGGAACACCGGUGGCGAAGGCGGCAUUCUGGACCAUAACUGACACUGAGAGACGAAAGCCAGGGGAGCAAACGGG
rnacentral:rRNA from 1 species